rnacentral:rRNA from 1 species
GAUGAACGCUAGCUACAGGCUUAACACAUGCAAGUCGAGGGACCGGCGCACGGGUGAGUAACACGUAUCCAACCUGCCCUUUACUCGGGGAUAGCCUUUCGAAAGAAAGAUUAAUACCCGAUAUAAAGGAUGGGGAUGCGUUCCAUUAGGUUGUUGGUGAGGUAACGGCUCACCAAGCCUUCGAUGGAUAGGGGUGCUGAGAGUAAGGCCCCAUGCAUUGGAACUGAGACCCGGUCCACACUGCUACGGUGGGCAGGAGUGAGGAAUAUUGGUCAAUGGGCGCUAGCCUGGACCAGCCAAGUAGCGUGAAGGUUGAAGGCUUAUGGGUGGUAAACUUCUUUUAUAUAAGAAUAUGUAUUAUAUGAAUAAGGAUCGGCUAACUCCGUGCCAGCAGCCGCGGUAAUAC